UCUGUUCUUAAGGAGGCUGAGGCUGUUGGUCCCGUUUCCUGGAAGUGAUGGAGC
ensembl:miRNA gga-mir-7450 gga-mir-7450